rnacentral:rRNA from 1 species
AUUGAACGCUGGCGGCAUGCCUAACACAUGCAAGUCGAGCGGAUGAAGGGAGCUUUCUCCUGGAUUCAGCGGCGGACGGGUGAGUAAUGCCUUGGAAUCUGCCUGGUAGUGGGGGAUAACGUCCGGAAACGGGCGCUAAUACCGCAUACGUCCUGAGGGAGAAAGUGGUGGAUCUUUGGACCUCACGCUAUCAGAUGAGCCUAGGUCGGAUUAGCUAGUUGGUAGGGUAAAGGCCUACCAAGGCGACGAUCCGUAACUGGUCUGAGAGGAUGAUCAGUCACACUGGAACUGAGACACGGUCCAGACUCCUACGGGAGGCAGCAGUGGGGAAUAUUGGACAAUGGGCGAAAGCCUGAUCCAGCAAUGCCGCGUGUGUGAAGAAGGUCUUCGGAUUGUAAAGCACUUUAAGUUGGGAGGAAGGACAGUAAGUUAAUACAUUGAUGUUUUGACGUUACCAAAAGAGUAAGCACCGGCUAACUUCGUG